UACGUAGGGGGCAAGCGUUAUCCGGAUUUACUGGGUGUAAAGGGAGCGUAGACGGAGUAGCAAGUCUGAUGUGAAAAUCCGGGGCCCAACCCGGACUGCAUUGGAAACUGUUGAUCUAGAGUGUCGGAGAGGUAAGUGGAAUUCCUAGUGUAGCGGUGAAAUGCGUAGAUAUUAGGAGGAACACCAGUGGCGAAGGCGGCUUACUGGACGAUGACUGACGUUGAGGCUCGAAAGCGUGGGGAGCAAACAGGAUUAGAACCUA
rnacentral:rRNA from 1 species